GAUGAACGCUAGCGGCAGGCUUAACACAUGCAAGUCGAGGGGUAUAGGUUUUCGGACCUAGAGACCGGCGCACGGGUGCGUAACGCGUAUGCAAUCUACCUUUCACAGAGGGAUAGCCCAGAGAAAUUUGGAUUAAUACCUCAUAGUAUUAUAGAAUGGCAUCAUUUUAUAAUUAAAGUCACAACGGUGAAAGAUGAGCAUGCGUCCCAUUAGCUAGUUGGUAUGGUAACGGCAUACCAAGGCAACGAUGGGUAGGGGUCCUGAGAGGGAGAUCCCCCACACUGGUACUGAGACACGGACCAGACUCCUACGGGAGGCAGCAGUGAGGAAUAUUGGUCAAUGGGCGCAAGCCUGAACCAGCCAUGCCGCGUGCAGGAUGACGGUCCUAUGGAUUGUAAACUGCUUUUGCACAGGAAGAACAACGCUACGUGUAGCGUCUUGACGGUACUGUGAGAAUAAGGAUCGGCUAACUCCGUGCC
rnacentral:rRNA from 1 species